GCAAACUUGGUCAUUUAGAGGAAGUAAAAGUCGUAACAAGGUCUCCGUAGGUGAACCUGCGGAGGGAUCAUUACAAGUGACCCCGGUCUAACCACCGGGAUGUUCAUAACCCUUUGUUGUCCGACUCUGUUGCCUCCGGGGCGACCCUGCCUUCGGGCGGGGGCUCCGGGUGGACACUUCAAACUCUUGCGUAACUUUGCAGUCUGAGUAAACUUAAUUAAUAAAUUAAAACUUUUAACAACGGAUCUCUUGGUUCUGGCAUCGAUGAAGAACGCAGC
rnacentral:misc_RNA from 1 species